rnacentral:rRNA from 1 species
UACGAAGGGGGCUAGCGUUGCUCGGAAUCACUGGGCGUAAAGGGUGCGUAGGCGGGUCUUUAAGUCAGGGGUGAAAUCCUGGAGCUCAACUCCAGAACUGCCUUUGAUACUGAAGAUCUUGAGUCCGGGAGAGGUGAGUGGAACUGCGAGUGUAGAGGUGAAAUUCGUAGAUAUUCGCAAGAACACCAGUGGCGAAGGCGGCUCACUGGCCCGGUACUGACGCUGAGGCACGAAAGCGUGGGGGAGCAAACAGG